GACGAACGCUGGCGGCGUGCUUAACACAUGCAAGUCGAACGGAAAGGCCCCCUUGUGGGGUACUCGAGUGGCGAACGGGUGAGUAACACGUGAGCAACCUACCCUUGACUUUGGGAUAACUUCAGGAAACUGGGGCUAAUACCGGAUAGGAGCUCCUGCUGCAUGGUGGGGGUUGGAAAGUUUCGGCGGUUGGGGAUGGACUCGCGGCUUAUCAGCUUGUUGGUGGGGUAGUGGCUCACCAAGGCUUUGACGGGUAGCCGGCCUGAGAGGGUGACCGGCCACAUUGGGACUGAGAUACGGCCCAGACUCCUACGGGAGGCAGCAGUGGGGAAUAUUGCACAAUGGGCGGAAGCCUGAUGCAGCAACGCCGCGUGCGGGAUGACGGCCUUCGGGUUGUAAACCGCUUUCGCCUGUGACGAAGCGUGAGUGACGGUAAUGGGUAAAGAAGCACCGGCUAACUACGUG
rnacentral:rRNA from 1 species